AGAAAAAAAAGGUCCACUCAUUCCAGCUGCUUUUGGGCCCCAGCUCACCUCUGUUUUCCUCUCAUUCCCUGUCCUGCCCACUGUCGGGCUAGCUCAGCUUGGAUUUCAUCAGAGCUGCCAAGAACCAGGGAAGCUCCAUUUGGUUUCUCCACUGAGAGAGCGCCCCUCCAGGACAGCACCCACCUCUGCUGUCACGGAAACUGCCAGCAUCUUAGCCCUCAGUCUAAAAAGAAGCAACUGAGGAAGACAAUGAUAGAGGUCCACAAAAGCGUGACACCCUGCAGGGAGAGAGGCACUGCAUCUGCCAGGCAACUUGGAAAAGGCAUUUGGAGCUGACUGUCCAGGAAGGGCAUUGUAACAUCAAUCACAGAAGAAGUAAUUUGACGAGCCAAGGUCUUCAGGGAGAGAUAAUGUCUCAUUAAAUCAAACACUAUACUUGAGGAAGAGAUGAC